AGACUGAACAUUUUCGGUAGGAAAAGACCUAUGUUUAGUUUCCCCACCAAAUGCAUUUCUUCACCAAAGUUUUGUAACAAAACUUUUUCAUGGCUGCAUCUGGAAUAUAUCGGGAAAAGACAGCUCCUUUGAGAUCUUCAUCAAAAAAAAUAAAUCAAUAAACAGCUCUUUUGAGAUCAUAUGCGAAUGAAACAAUCUGUCCAAAGAGAAGAUUUUCCAUAACCAUCAGUUUCAACCUCUUUGCCACUUUUGUAUUGUCUAACCUGCAGUUUCAUAACUUUAAAAAAGAUGGUGAAAACUUGCACUAGAUGAGAUGGUGAACACGUAAAAAUGUGGCAGUUAGAAAAACAUCAAGGACGUACUCAUCUAAUAGCAGACCUGCUAUAUUCCCAU
rnacentral:lncRNA from 1 species